rnacentral:rRNA from 1 species
AUUGAACGCUGGCGGCAUGCUUUACACAUGCAAGUCGAACGGUAACAGGCCGCAAGGUGCUGACGAGUGGCGGACGGGUGAGUAAUGCAUCGGAACGUGCCCAGUCGUGGGGGAUAACUACUCGAAAGAGUAGCUAAUACCGCAUACGAUCUAUGGAUGAAAGCGGGGGACCGUAAGGCCUCGCGCGAUUGGAGCGGCCGAUGUCAGAUUAGGUAGUUGGUGGGGUAAAGGCUCACCAAGCCAACGAUCUGUAGCUGGUCUGAGAGGACAACCAGCCACACUGGGACUGAGACACGGCCCAGACUCCUACGGGAGGCAGCAGUGGGGAAUUUUGGACAAUGGGCGCAAGCCUGAUCCAGCAAUGCCGCGUGCAGGAAGAAGGCCUUCGGGUUGUAAACUGCUUUUGUACGGAACGAAACGGCUCUGGUUAAUACCCGGGGCUAAUGACGGUACCGUAAGAAUAAGCACCGGCUAACUACGUG